ensembl:lncRNA
ACCGGACCAAAAUAUGUCCUAUAUAUUGCAACAGGAUUUCCUUGUACUCUGUUAGACACAGAUGACCUGAGACCCACUCAGCCCAUUUGACCAUGGGAAGGGAAAUGAGAUGAAGAACGAGGAGAAAGAGCAAGAGGGUGAAUGCAAAAGCAGAAGGCACCCACUGCUCUGUCCUUGCCUGGCUUUUGAUGCUCUUUCUCUGGCUCUUGGACCUGCAAGUUUAAGCCCACUCUGAACUACUAGAGAGAAAAAUUCUGCUUUGGGACUCACUGAUCUCAAGCCACUGCACAGAGCAGUCCCUGGAACAGCUUUCUGAUGGAAGGUCAAGAGUGAUCUCCUGUUGGCCAUUUAACAAGAGGUGGAGUGAGAUUGAGAUCUCCGAGGCCUUGAACAUUCAGCCUUCUCCUUUCUCCAGCCUAUUUGCUUUUCAUUUUCACAUUAUGUAUGAGAUUAGAUCCUCCGAUAAAAAUACUCACUGUGGAAGUAUUGUCCGAAGUGGAUACUCUGACAACCAUGGCCAGUAUCCCUUCAGAAGUAUCAGGAUGCUCACAAAUCAAGAUUGGAUGUCUUCCUAGUAGAGAUGCUCUAGGCAAACCCCUGUGAAAGAGAAGCAAGUUGAAGAAAUCAAGACAGAAAAGCUAAGUGCUUUUGCUUCAUAAGACAUCCAAAGAAAAGAGAGAGCCAAAGGGCAAUCCUCUGUUGCUGUUCGCUGUGGGGAGACGCCGCAUAGCUUUAUGAACUCUGCAUUCCUCAAAAACAGAUAUUUUCCUCCACAUUGAGUACCAUGGUGCCAGGACUAAGUUAGCAAAAAGUGCUGGGACUGGGGAGUUUUAUGUUAAUUUAUGUAUCUCCUCAAAACGCCCAAACCAGCCUUGUGUUCUAAUGUGCAUUUGACUUGGGGAUUGUCAGAGUGAGUCCAGCAAAAAACCACUACAGCUGCAGCAAAGCAACACAGAAGAGACCCUUCCCAGUCUUCUUCCACAAGCAGAAAGAUCCUCUGCUGAAAACAAGGUCAUCUAUCUUAGAUUAAGCUUGCUUUUUUUUUGGCGAAACUCAGAUCACUCAACACCUGGAGGCAAUUUCCUAAGCAUCUGCAUUUUUACAACAUGCAGCCAAGGUGGGAUGAAAGGGCAAGACUUACUCAGCUCUUGGAAAAGCUGGCACUCCCAGCCUUGGCAAGCUUGCUUUAGCAGAGCAGCGUUGCCAUUUGCAGGGUAUCCGUGCAAAGCUUCUGGUUUAAGUGAAGCAACACCGGGGCUGUGAUUUUCCCUUUGCCAUACAGAACAUACACAUUUUAGAAAAUUUCAGUCACACAAAAGUGGGUGUAACACUGAGCAGCAGCGCUACAAACAGAGGAUGCAAUUAUACUUGCAAAGUGUACAGAGCCCCGCAGGUUGGCCAUCGCUCAUUCCUGACCUGGGUCGGUUUGCAGUUUUUAUCCUUUCAGUUCUACAAGCAACGUGUAAUUGGAUUCUCCUUCCCCCCCCCCUACCAUGUUCCCACAGGUUACAGCAAGUUAAAUGUCCUUGAAGAAAUAAAAACGUUUCCUGAAC